ensembl:lncRNA
GAUGGCCUUGAACUCACUAUAUAGCCGAAACUGGCCUUGACUCUUGAUGAUCCUCCUGCUUCAGCCUCACGAGUGCUAGGAUUACAGGUCGGUUCAUAUUCCAAGAUGGCUGCCAGAGAUCCAUCCAUCAGAUCCACAUUCCAAGUCAAUAGCAAGAGAAAGGAGAAAAGAAAAAGGAUAUGUGUGCCUUUUACAGAACCUUUUCCAGAAGGCCCACACUAACUUAUAUUUCAUUGGGCAUCAUCUUAUCAUAUGGCCACAUCUGGCUGCAGAGAAGGCUGGGAAUAUCAUUUUUUAGCUGGCUGUAGUGUCUCGAAGUCAGUUACAAAGAAAGAAGGGGAGGAUAGAUAUAAACAAAAUUAUACUGAGCAAAACAAGCCAGGACACAAGAAGAGUGUAUACUGUAUGGUUCCAUUUAUAUGAAACUCUAGGAAAGGCAAAUCUAAUUUAUAGCAGCAGCAAGCAUUGCUGAUCGUGGGUCAGAAUUUACAGGGUAUGCAGCAAGGAAGGUUUUAGAGAUAAUGGAAAUGUUCUGUGUCCUGAUUAUGAUGAUGCUUAUACAGGAGUACAGCUUGGUCUUCCAAUGUGUACAAGUGUUGUCUUCCAAACAUACACUUCCAAGGGAUGCCAUUUCAUUUGAACUAUAUAUUAUACCUCAGUAAAGUUGAGUUUUAUAAUUAUGAAAAACCUCAACACUAUAACAAAAUUACUCUUAAAGUUUUUCACUUUCCUUCUCUUUUAUUUGCAUAUCUUGACACAGCUGAGAGUACAAUGCUUAUACUCACUUGGAUUCCUGCAUUCUUCACUUUACAUCAUAAGAUUUUUCCAUGUUGCUUCGUUGAUCUUCAUAAUCAUAACUUGAAAUGACUGUAUGAUCCUUUGGGAGUCUGAAAUGUAACAUGUACACAUACAGUUAAAACAAUUCACAAGCACCAAAGAACACACAAUAGAAUGGAGUCUCCCCCUGCAACUCUGUAAGACCCUUACUUAGAAGCAGUGGAUUCCAGUUUCUAGCACAUAGAACCAGAAACAUCCUGUGCACAUAAAGACACAAGUGUGAAGACCUCCUCUCCUGUGAGAUGUCUUGGAGGCAAUCCUGAGUACUCACUUGCUCACAUGAUACAUCUUGGACACCUGCUCAUGUUCUUUAUACGGUCUGAAUGUUCUCUCAUUUACUGAACCAAUAUUGUUAAACACAUAGUGUUUCCCCAGUUUCUUUUUUCCUAUUAAUCAUGCCGUAGAUGUCAUGUUACUGGUUUGACUCAGCUACCAAGUUUAAAAUAAAUGCUACGUUCCAAAGGAGCUGCUAGGCUAUCUACAGCAUUUACCAGGCAAGAUGCUUAAAGCCAGCUGUGCUGGUGCACACCUGCAGUCCCAGGUGCUUGGAGGACUGACAUGGAAGCGGCUCAAAUUCAAGGGCAGCCUGGGCAAUUUGGCUGUGCCUCAUUCUGGCUCCAGGAGAGCAGCGUUCAUGCAGCCACAGUGUGGAAACCGGAGCGUCUACCCACGGCCCGUCUGUUACCAGGUAGGGGGUCCCGCGGGAUUCCCUCCGGAUCCUCGGUGUCCUGAACACAGAAGUGAACGAGACAAGACACACGGAAAAGGCGGCGCAAGCGUACAUUUAGUGAAGGCCGAAAAGAUCACGCUCUGCGGAGUAAGCCGGCGCGUGAGAAGGCGCACAGCGCCCAGGCAAGCGGACAGGGGUUCUUUUGUAUCCACAGUUCCGGAGUUGGCUUCUGCCAGUGCAAAGAAGGCACCAGGACAGUUGUCAAAAACCCACUUGGCCCGGAACCAGGUGUAGACUGCGCUAGGCAAAAACUCACGAGACUUCCUGCCAGACAGCAACAGGACUGAAAAACAGCACUUUUCUGAUUGGUCCUACGAACCGCACCUAGUUCCCAGGAAGGACUGAAAAUACCGCCUUCUGAUUGGGUCUAUGGAUAGCGCUCGGGAGCCCUGGGGUCCUCCUGGGCCCUGUGUCCUGUGCAUGUCGCUGGAUUUUAUGACCCUCGACUCCUCCUCCUCCCGUAGUGGCCGCUUCGCCCAGCCCUGAUCUUCCGUUGCGCACCUCACAGAGAACUCCGUUCGGCGCGCUUGCCAUUGGAGCAGGACAUGAGGAGAGCAUGAAGCAGAAGCAGAGGAAGAGCCUAGGGAGCCCCAGGAAGGGAUUUCCUUGCGAAUGGGGUUCAGGGCACGAGGGCGAGGGGUGGGGGUUGAGUGGCUAGAGAGGCGCUUCGUCCUGGGGACAGCAGAAGGAACCGCAGAGCCUGUCCCUCCUCGUACACCGAGCCCAGCGAUCCCUACGGGGCUCAGCGAGAUCAUGAAGGUGGAACGAAUUAGAAAAGCGCCCUGCUCUAAGGAAUUCUCACUGAUCAGGGGAUGAAAGGGAGAUGCCCUUCCACCACGGCGAAAGCCUGCCCGAGCUCCCCAUCCUCCAGCCUCGGCUUCUCCUUGGAUCCUGCAUGGCCUGAAUGGCAGAACAGAGCCCAAGGAACUCUGCUUGUUUCCUGAGAAAUGCCACCGCUGGAAUGUUCCCAGGGGCCGGCAGGGGAACUCUGGAGUGACUCAGGCAGGCGAGGAAUCGAACCAGGAAAGAAGCAGCUCCGGAGUCCUCUUUCCUGAGCGUCUUUUGUUGCUAUGUCGUGGCUGCCUCAAUAUCCUGAAUCAGUUCAAAACAUUUGCCUUCAUGGUCACUUUGACUCUGGGGAAGAAACAGAAGUCGCACGGUGCCGGAUCCUGAGAAUAAGGUGGAUGAGGACACCGUGUAAGGUUUUUCCGAGCCUGUCUUUCCGUGGAAUGGCACUGGGAAGCAGCCUGCAGCAUAUUUUUGCUCACACCUUGUGAAGACGAAAAAGAGGACUUCCAGAUCCACUUCAGAAAGUGCUAAGAAUGAAGUGAUAAGUGUGUUCGAGGCAAGGAGGAGCAUUUUGAGGGGGAUUCACGACGGUGUGUACUUUAUGUAAUAAAUUGUAUAAAAUUUAAACAUUCACCGUAUUUUAAUCACCCAUUAUAUGCAAGAAGCCACUGGGGGGAGUAAGACCAGACGAAGGCAGAAUUGUUGCCCCGGGUUUGUGGC